rnacentral:rRNA from 1 species
UGGGGAAUAUUGCACAAUGGGCGCAAGCCUGAUGCAGCCAUGCCGCGUGUGUGAAGAAGGCCUUCGGGUUGUAAAGCACUUUCAGCGAGGAGGAAGGUGGUGAGCUUAGUACGCUCAUCAAUUGACGUUACUCGCAGAAGAAGCACCGGCUAACUCCGUGCCAGCAGCCGCGGUAAUACGGAGGGUGCAAGCGUUAAUCGGAAUUACUGGGCGUAAAGCGCACGCAGGCGGUUUGUUAAGUCAGAUGUGAAAUCCCCGGGCUCAACCUGGGAACUGCAUUUGAAACUGGCAAGCUAGAGUCUCGUAGAGAGGGGUAGAAUUCCAGGUGUAGCGGUGAAAUGCGUAGAGAUCUGGAGGAAUACCGGUGGCGAAGGCGGCCCCCUGGACGAAGACUGACGCUCAGGUGCGAAAGCGUGGGGAGCAAACAGGAUUAAAUACCCUGGUAGUCCACGCUGUAAACGAUGUCGAUUUUGGAGGUUGUGCCCUUGAGGCGUGGCUUCCGGAGCUAACGCGUUAAAAUCGACCGCCUGGGGAGUACGGCCGCAAGGUUAAAACUCAAAUGAAUUGACGGGGUCAUAGCUGUUUCCU